UACGGAGGGUGCGAGCGUUAAUCGGAAUAACUGGGCGUAAAGGGUACGCAGGCGGGCUUUUAAGUGAGGUGUGAAAUCCCCGGGCUUAACCUGGGAAUUGCAUUUCAGACUGGGAGUCUGGAGUACGGUAGAGAGGGGUAGAAUUCCACGUGUAGCGGUGAAAUGCGUAGAUAUGUGGAGGAAUACCGAAGGCGAAGGCAGCCCCCUGGGAAUGUACUGACGCUCAUGCGCGAAAGCGUGGGUAGCAAACAGG
rnacentral:rRNA from 1 species